GUCGGGAUAGCUCAGUCGGUAGAGCAGAGGACUGAAAA
rnacentral:tRNA from 2 species